rnacentral:piRNA from 1 species
UGCUAAGCAAGCAAUGGACUGACAGA